GUUCGUUAUUAAGGGCGCAUGGUGGAUGCCUUGGCAUGCUGAGCCGAUGAAGGACGUGAAAGGCUGCGUUAAGCCUCGGGGAGUUGUCAAUUAAGCGUUGAUCCGAGGAUGUCCGAAUGGGGAAACCUGGCCCUGGUUAUGUGGGGUUACCCUUCAGUGAAUUCAUAGCUGUUGUGGGGGUUUACGCGGGGAAGUGAAACAUCUCAGUACCCGUAGGAGGAGAAAAUAAUAAUGAUUCUGCUAGUAGUGGCGAACGAACGUGGAUGAGGCUAAACCGUGUGCAUGUGAUACCUGGUAGGGGUUGUGUGUGCGGUGUUGUGGGCCCCAAUGUGGACUAGCUACUGAUGGUCCGCUCGUGUGUUGUUGUUAGGUGAAGUGGUUUGGAAUGGCCUGCCGGAGAAGGUGAGAGUCCUGUAGUUGAAGACAAUGGCAUGUGGGUUGUUGGGUUGCCCGAGUAGCAGCGGGCUCGUGGAAUCUGCUGUGAAUCUGCCGGGACCACCCGGUAAGCCUAAAUACUCAGUGUGACCGAUAGUGUAUGAGUACCGUGAGGGAAUGGUGAAAAGUACCCCGGGAGGGGAGUGAAAUAGUUCCUGAAACCAUGUGCUUACAAUCCGUCAGAGCACCGUUUGUGUGUGAUGGCGUGCCUUUUGAAGAAUGAGCCUGCGAGUCAGCGGCAUGUCGCGAGGUUAACCCGUGUGGGGUAGCCGUAGGGAAACCGAAUCCUAAUGGGGUGUCAAGUGGCAUGUCCUGGACCCGAAGCGGGGUGAUCUACCCAUGGCCAGUGUGAAGCAGCUGUAAGAGGUUGUGGAGGCGCGAACCCACGUAGGUUGAAAACUGCGGGGAUGAGCUGUGGGUAGGGGUGAAAGGCCAAUCAAACUCCGUGAUAGCUGGUUCUCCCCGAAAUGCAUUUAGGUGCAGCGUCGUAUUAUAGCUUGGUGGAGGUAGAGCGACUGGUUGGUUGAGCGGGACUACAAUCUUAGCAAUGUCAGCCAAACUCCGAAUGCCACUAAUUGUGUUGUACGGCAGUGAGACUGUGGGGGAUAAGCUUCAUAGUCGAGAGGGAAACAGCCCAGAUCGCCGGUUAAGGCCCCUAAGGGUGUACUAAGUGGAAAAGGAUGUGGGAUCGCGAAGACAGCCAGGAGGUUGGCUUAGAAGCAGCCAUCCUUGAAAGAGUGCGUAAUAGCUCACUGGUCGAGUGGUUCUGCGCCGACAAUGUAGUGGGGCUCAAGUACACCGCCGAAGCCGCGGCAAGCAAUUUUUUGUUUGGGUAGGGGAGCGUCGUGCAUGGGUUGAAGCGUUACCGUAAGGAGGCGUGGACUGUGUGCGAGUGAGAAUGCAGGCAUGAGUAACGAAUUGAUAGGUGAGAAUCCUAUCCGCCGGAUGACUAAGGGUUCCUGGGUCAAGUUCGUCUUCCCAGGGUGAGUCGGGACCUAAGGCGAGGCCGACAGGCGUAGUCGAUGGAUAACCAGUUGAUAUUCUGGUACCCGUACAUGCGCGCCCAUGAUAAAGCACUGAUACUAACCACCGCGGAUGCACUGCUAGUCUUCUUUGAAGUCUGGUGGUGUUGAUGUCGUGGGGCCUGAUGUGUGGUUCAAGUGAUGGGGUGACGCAGUGAGGUAGCCACGCCACUUAUUGGAUUGGUGGUGUAAGCGUGUAGGCCGUGUGGUAGGUAAAUCCGCCGCACAUAUGGUUGAGACGUGAUGCGUAGACCCAUUGGGGUUGAUGGUGGUGAUCCUGUACUGUCGAGAAAAGCCUCUAGCGAUGUGUGUGUAUGGCCCGUACCCUAAACCGACACAGGUAGUCAGGUUGAAAAUACUAAGGCGUUCGGGUGAACUGUGGUUAAGGAAUUCGGCAAAAUGCCCCCGUAACUUCGGGAGAAGGGGGGCCCCACGGUGUGAGCAUCCUUGCGGUGUUAAGCGUUGUGGGGUCGCAGAGAAUAGAGGGAAGCGACUGUUUAUCAAAAACACAGGUCCAUGCGAAGACGUUAAGUUGAUGUAUAUGGACUGACGCCUGCCCGGUGCUGGAAGGUUAAGAGGACCGGUUAGUAGUCUUUGACUGCGAAGCUGAGAAUUUAAGCCCCAGUAAACGGCGGUGGUAACUAUAACCAUCCUAAGGUAGCGAAAUUCCUUGUCGGGUAAGUUCCGACCUGCACGAAUGGCGUAACGACUUCUCUGCUGUCUCAACCACAGGCCCGGUGAAAUUGCACUACGAGUAAAGAUGCUCGUUACGCGCGGCAGGACGAAAAGACCCCGGGACCUUCACUAUAGCUUGGUAUUGGUGUUUGGUUCGGUUUGUGUAGGAUAGGUGGGAGACUUGGAAGCUAUCACGCUAGUGGUGGUGGAGUCGUUGUUGAAAUACCACUCUGAUCGGAUUGAGCAUCUAACCUUGGCCCAUGAUCUGGGUUGGGGACAGUGCCUGGUGGGUAGUUUAACUGGGGCGGUUGCCUCCCAAAAUGUAACGGAGGCGCCCAAAGGUUCCCUCAGCCUGGUUGGCAAUCAGGUGGUGAGUGUAAGUGCACAAGGGAGCUUGACUGUGAGACAGACAUGUCGAGCAGGGACGAAAGUCGGGACUAGUGAUCCGGCACCUACUUGUGGAUGUGGUGUCGCUCAACGGAUAAAAGGUACCCCGGGGAUAACAGGCUGAUCUUCCCCAAGAGUCCAUAUCGACGGGAUGGUUUGGCACCUCGAUGUCGGCUCGUCGCAUCCUGGGGCUGGAGUAGGUCCCAAGGGUUGGGCUGUUCGCCCAUUAAAGCGGCACGCGAGCUGGGUUCAGAACGUCGUGAGACAGUUCGGUCUCUAUCCGCCGCGCGCGUUGAAACUUGAAGAAAGCUGUCCCUAGUACGAGAGGACCGGGACGGACGUACCUCUAGUGUGCCAGUUAUCCCGCCAGGGGUAUCGCUGGUUGGCUACGUACGGAAGGGAUAACCGCUGAAAGCAUCUAAGCGGGAAGCCUGUUUUAAGAUGAGGUUUCGUUAAACCGCUGAAAGCAUCUAAGCGGGAAGCCUGUUUUAAGAUGAGGUUUCGUUAAGGUCCCCUAAAGACGAUAGGGUAGAUAGGCCAGACCUGGAAGCACUGUAAGGUGUGAAGGCUACUGGUACUAAUUGACCACAACAAACACCAAC
rnacentral:rRNA from 1 species